rnacentral:lncRNA from 1 species
GGAUUUCAGUUCUUUCAUCUGUAAAAGGGCACUGGUGGGGAGUGGCAAUGACACUAGAUGGUUCACUUCAGCUAAAAACAGACAUAAAACAUGAUUUUAAUAUUGGUUGGAAAUGACUCAGUGCAGUAACAGAGGCAGAAAAAAAGCCCCCAAGGGAGUUUGCAGCACAGAACCAUCGCUUCCAGCUGUGAAUGUGCAGAGGGGAAGAGGACGUUGCAGAAAGGAGAAACUGGUGGUCUCUUUACCUAAAUCACCCAGACCCUGGUGCCAGGCAAAUGUUCACUCUUUCAGCCGUUUUUGGAAAGGCCAACAGAAAGGAGAGGUACCUAGACAGUCUGUACAAUGGUGGCCCCCAAUGAACUAUGCCUCCUUGUAAUCAUGUCCUAGUGUAAUCCCCUCUGACACUGACUUUGGGAUUGACCAUGUGACUUGCUUUCGCCAUGGAACACAAACAGCACAAGCACAAACUUGAUAAGCACUUGGACACUGGGUCUUUGGAACGCCGCCUCUGGAAGCCAGCAUCCAUGCUGUAAGGAAGCUCAAGCUAAACUACCAGAUGAUGAGAGGACAUGGAGAGAAAACCCAGAGGACAGGAGUCCUCAUGGACAUUCAAUCUUAGCUGUUCCCCAGCCAAUGCAGCCACAUGGGUGACCUCGGCAACCCUGCACUGUGCAAAAGAACUACCCAGCUGAACCAGUCAACCCAUAGGAUUGCAAAACAUGAUAACCAGUUGUUGAUUUAAGCCACUAAGUGUGGGAGUAGUUUUUUGGGCAGCAAAAGAUAACUUAGUAUUGUGGGAAGCUAAAAUUUCAGUUUCAGGGAGGGUUUUGAGAGUUGAUGAGUCCAUUUGGGGGAAGGAUGUAGUCUUAAGCUUACUUCCCCAGAAGCAAAAGGGGAAUGAGAUAAACAGACCUUUGGCUGGACUCCAAGAGUCUUUCAACCAAAGAAAGUUUACUGAAGAAAAAAAGAGAAACUUGGCCGAGAUCUGAAGUGUGAUGAGAAUUUGGAACACGGAAGACAAGCCAGGAGGCCCUUCUGAAAGUAGGAAGCCACAGAAGCAAACGGUGCCAAGGAGGACGAUCCAGGGCGGGCCUGGCCGCAAGAGGGCACCUUGCAGAAAGCACCGCAGUUGGCAGUAAGCAGGCAUUUUCCAGAAGAAUCCCGAAGGCAAAUACUCUGUUCUGCUCUCAGUUAACCUGUGCUACUGUCAGACCACAUACACUGUAGAGUUCAGAGGUAGCUGCUAUGGGAGUGAAUCUUCUUGCUGCUGCCAAAGGGACUCCUGCAGGCCAGCAGCAGGGACGGACUCACCUCCCUGUGCCCUCUCCCAGCAGAUGACCUCAGCCCUCACAGUUGAAGAAGUUGGCCUGCAGGCAUGCGGAGGGAGUGCCCGCUGGAACCCAGGGCCAGGACAGGGCCUGUGCAGAGGAGUCCACCUUCAGCAAGACGGACCACCAAUACUCUGCGACUUAGAGAAGGAGACUGAGGAAUAAAUGCCCAGACCGUACUCCGCUCCUGCCCUCCUGGUUUCCUGCCAGAGUCUCCCCUUGUCUGAAGCCAACCUGAAGACACCCCUUGAGGACCCCUUCACUGUACUGGGACCAUGGGGGGCUGAGCCUCUGGGAUCAGUCACCUCCCUAACCUCCUGCAUGAGGAACAACUUGACGAACACACAUUUCAACCUGUAACAGGGUGGACAAGCAGAACCCUUCUUCAGAAGCACAUUUAUGAAGUUCCCGCAGUAACUGGCUCAGAGAGAAAUGCUGCUGUAACAGCUGAGAGAAAACUGAUAACCCUGAAAAUAAAGUGUCCAUGGAAAUCUCAUAUAUUGCCUAUUGUUUAAAAACAAUGUCUCACAUAAAAGAGGUGAUGGAUUAGUUUCUUUCAUUAUGCUGCCUCAAG